UACGAAGGGGGCUAGCGUUGCUCGGAAUCACUGGGCGUAAAGCGCACGUAGGCGGACUCUUAAGUCGGUGGUGAAAUCCUGGAGCUCAACUCCAGAACUGCCUUCGAUACUGGGUAUCUGGAGUAUGGAAGAGGUGAGUGGAAUUCCGAGUGUAGAGGUGAAAUUCGUAGAUAUUCGGAGGAACACCAGUGGCGAAGGCGGCUCACUGGUCCAUUACUGACGCUGAGGUGCGAAAAGCGUGGGGGAGCAAACAGGG
rnacentral:rRNA from 1 species